CCUACGGGUGGCUGCAGUGGGGAAUAUUGGGCAAUGGGCGCAAGCCUGACCCAGCAACGCCGCGUGAAGGAAGAAGGCUUUCUGGUUGUAAAAUUCUUUUCUCAGGGACGAAGAAAGUGACGGUACCUGUGGAAUAAGCCACGGCUAACUACGUGCCAGCAGCCGCGGUAAUACGUAGGUGGCAAGCGUUAUCCGGAUUUAUUGGUUUUAAAGGGCGAGUAGGCGGGAGCGCAAGUCAGAUGUGAAAACUCAGGGCUCAAACCUGAGCCUGCAUUGGAAACUGUGUUUCUUGAGUGCUGGAGAGGCAAUCGGAAUUCCGGGUGGAGCGGUGAAAUGCGUAGAUAUACGGAGGAACACCAGUGGCGAAGGCGGAUUGCUGGACAGUAACUGACGCUGAGGCGCGAAAGCGUGGGGAGCAAACAGGAUUAGAUACCCUGGUAGUC
rnacentral:rRNA from 1 species